rnacentral:rRNA from 1 species
UGGGGAAUAUUGCACAAUGGGCGCAAGCCUGAUGCAGCCAUGCCGCGUGUGUGAAGAAGGCCUUCGGGUUGUAAAGCACUUUCAGCGAGGAGGAAGGUGGUGAACUUAAUACGUUCAUCAAUUGACGUUACUCGCAGAAGAAGCACCGGCUAACUCCGUGCCAGCAGCCGCGGUAAUACGGAGGGUGCAAGCGUUAAUCGGAAUUACUGGGCGUAAAGCGCACGCAGGCGGUUUGUUAAGUCAGAUGUGAAAUCCCCGGGCUCAACCUGGGAACUGCAUUUGAAACUGGCAAGCUAGAGUCUCGUAGAGGGGGGUAGAAUUCCAGGUGUAGCGGUGAAAUGCGUAGAGAUCUGGAGGAAUACCGGUGGCGAAGGCGGCCCCCCUGGACGAAGACUGACGCUCAGGUGCGAAAGCGUGGGGAGCAAACAGGAUUAGAUACCCCUGGUAGUCCAGCGCUGUAAAACGAUGUCGAUUUUGGAGGUUGUGCCCCUUGAGGCGUGGCUUCCGGAGCUAACGCGUUAAAUCGACCGCCUGGGGAGUACGGCCGCAAGGUUAAAACUCAAAGGAAUUGACGGGGUCUAGCUG